AUUGAACGCUGGCGGCAUGCCUUACACAUGCAAGUCGAACGGCAGCACGGGUGCUUGCACCUGGUGGCGAGUGGCGAACGGGUGAGUAAUACAUCGGAACGUACCUUAUCGUGGGGGAUAACGCAGCGAAAGCUGUGCUAAUACCGCAUACGCCCUGAGGGGGAAAGCGGGGGAUCGCAAGACCUCGCGCGAUUAGAGCGGCCGAUGCCUGAUUAGCUAGUUGGUGGGGUAAAAGCCCACCAAGACGACGUUCAGUAGCUGGUCUGAGAGGACGAUCAGCCACACUGGGACUGAGACACGGCCCAGACUCCUACGGGAGGCAGCAGUGGGGAAUUUUGGACAAUGGGGGCAACCCUGAUCCAGCAAUGCCGCGUGAGUGAAGAAGGCCUUCGGGUUGUAAAGCUCUUUUGUCAGGGAAGAAACACCGGCUCUAACACAGUCCGGGAAUGACGGUACCUGAAGAAUAAGCACCGGCUAACUACGUGCCAGCCGCCGCGGUAA
rnacentral:rRNA from 1 species